AAUGUUUGACGCCAUUGACUUUUUAUCACAUGUUUGACCGUUCGUCUUAUUCAAAAAAUUUAAGUAAUUAUUAAUUCUUUUUCUAUCAUUUGAUUCAUUGUUAAAUAUAUUUUUAUGUAGGCAUAUAAUUUUACAUAUCUCACAAAAAUUUUUGAAUAAGACGAACGGUCAAAUAUGUGCUAAAAAGUCAACGGUGUCAAACAUU
rfam:Oryza glumipatula chromosome 6, whole genome shotgun sequence.